UACCAGCACCCCGAGUGGUCGGGACGUUUAUUGGGCCUAAAGCAUCCGUAGCCGGUUCUACGAGUCUUCCGUUAAAUCCAACUGCUUAACAGGAGGGCUGCGGAAGAUACUAUAGAGCUAGGAGGCGGGAGAGGCAAGCGGUACUCGAUGGGUAGGGGUAAAAUCCGUUGAUCCAUUGAAGACCACCAGUGGCGAAGGCGGCUUGCCAGAACGCGCUCGACGGUGAGGGAUGAAAGCUGGGGGAGCAAACCGG
rnacentral:rRNA from 1 species